rnacentral:rRNA from 1 species
UACGUAGGGGGCGAGCGUUGUCCGAAUUUACUGGGCGUAAAGCGCACGUAGGCGGUUAUCUAAGUCUGGGGUGAAAGGUUCAGUGCUUAACGCGAACAGUGCCUUGGAGACUGGAUGACUUGAGUUUGGGAGAGGGUAGUGGAAUGGCUGGUGUAGCGGUGAAAUGCGUAGAUAUCAGUCGGAACACCAAUGGCGAAGGCAGCUACCUGGCCUAAAACUGACGCUGAGGUGCGAAAGCGUGGGGAGCGAACGGG